rnacentral:rRNA from 1 species
UACGGAGGGUGCAAGCGUUGUUCGGAUUUAUUGGGCGUAAAGCGCGCGUAGGCGGUUACUUAAGUCGGAUGUGAAAGCCCUCGGCUUAACUGAGGAAGUGCACCCGAAACUGAGUAGCUAGAGUACGAAAGAGGGUCGCGGAAUUCCCGGUGUAGAGGUGAAAUUCGUAGAUAUCGGGAGGAACACCGGUGGCGAAGGCGGCGACCUGGGUCGAGACUGACGCUGAGGCGCGAAAGCGUGGGGAGCAAACAGG